UUUCAUUAAAUUUUAUAGUUCACACAUUAAAAAGUAAAACUGUUGAAAUCCUUAAAGAGAACGUGAUUGUUUUUCUUUUUUAUACUUCAACAAGAACAAAUGUGUUUUGUUAAAACACAAAACGAGAUUUCUAGUGACUCGUCUGGAUAACGUUAAUGACAAACCGAUCAUCGUAAAAUUAAAGUUCAACCCAUGAGAUCUUAUAUAGUAGUUGGCUUUCUACGUGUUCACAUUCAACCGGUUUCAUAACAUUAUAAAAAUAACAACAACGCCAUUUAAGAAAGUUAUGGGUUACAAUUGACCUGGAGUCAGUGAUUUUAAUCGUGUAAAAUUCAAAUAAAUAACAACAUAACAUGUGCGCCUCGAGCGCAAAAAAAUUAAAGAAAUCAAGAGCGCGCCAUCUCUUUGUAAAAAUCGCGCCAAUAUAUUCAUUAAGUCUAAGAGGGAGAAUACUUGAAAAAGGGAGAUAUAAAAGAGAAGGCAUCGCCGAAAGACAAGACGAGCGUCAACAGUUAAUAAUCGACUACCGUCGAAGAGUUUCUCAUAAGUAUAGUACUUCUUACGGUUUUAUGAACACAACUCAAUAGUACUGACCUGUCAUAUAAAUUAAAUGGAAACAACUAAAAUCGUCGAAAAUAAUAUGUUUUUUCCAGUUUCAAUAACACUGUAAAAUAUUAUGAUCCAGAGCUUUUACCGAGAGACAAUAAAUUAUUCCAAAUGAUAAAACACAAGUUGAUCAAUUAAUAUUGAAUUAAAAUUCAAUUAAAAAUUGAAAUUAAAAUUCAACUAAUUCAUUAAAAUUAAUGAAUUAGUUGCUAGUAACUUACAUAAAUAAUAUACUAUAACAUUAAUUUAAGUUAGUAAUAC